rnacentral:lncRNA from 1 species
UUUCUUAUGAUCCUGACAAAGUAUCAUUCAAAUUUGACUACUAUAGUCAAAUGACGACAUUCAAAUAAUGUAAUUUUCAAUCUAUUAGUCCUCUCGUCAAAUAACCCAUGCUUUAAUAGAAAUAGUGAUCAAAACUAAAACGUUUAUCCUGGAUUAAAGGCUAACAAAUUCCAACAUGUACAACAUUUAUAUAAACACACAAAUAUAAACAGAAAAAGAUAUGCACGUCACACUCAUCACAUAUAUUAUUUCUUCUAUCAUAAAACAGCUUUCUACACCAUAUUUGCAAUAUUUUUUAGAUUGAAUGCCAUAAAAAAUAGGUGUACUUACCAAUAAGAUACAGAGAAAGAACAUAAAUUGCAAAGCAGGUCCUAUAUCAGAGGUAUAAAGAACUGCGAUAUGGAGACAAAUGUAGUGUAACAUACAAGAAUCAGUUUGUUUGAGGCAAAAUUCUCUCUUAGUAGAAAAUAUUAUAAAACCCUUUAC